rnacentral:rRNA from 1 species
GAGUUUGAUCGUGGCUCAGAUUGAACGCUGGCGGCAUGCCUUACACAUGCAAGUCGAACGGCAGCACGGGAGCUUGCUCCUGGUGGCGAGUGGCGAACGGGUGAGUAAUGCAUCGGAACGUAUCCUGGAGUGGGGGAUAACGUAGCGAAAGUUACGCUAAUACCGCAUAUUCUGUGAGCAGGAAAGCGGGGGACCUUCGGGCCUCGCGCUCUUGGAGCGGCCGAUGUCGGAUUAGCUAGUUGGUGAGGUAAAGGCUCACCAAGGCGACGAUCCGUAGCAGGUCUGAGAGGAUGAUCUGCCACACUGGAACUGAGACACGGUCCAGACUCCUACGGGAGGCAGCAGUGGGAAUUUGGACAAUGGGGGCAACCCUGAUCCAGCCAUGCCGCGUGAGUG